UGGUGGAGUGAUUUGUCUGCUUAAUAUCGAUAACGAACGAGACCUUAACCUGCUAAAUAGUUACGUGAACCUUUGCGUUCGUGGACAACUUCUUAGAGGGACUUUUGCGUGUUUAAGCCAAAGGAAGUUUGAGGCAAUAACA
rnacentral:rRNA from 1 species